ACGGCUCAGUAACACGUGGAUAACCUGCCCAAGGGUCUGGGAUAACCCCGGGAAACUGGGGAUAAUACCGGAUGGAUCACUAGUGCUGGAAUGCUUGGUGGUCGAAAGGCAACGCCUUUGGAUGGGUCUGCGGCGGAUUAGGUUGACGCCGGUGUAACGUACCGGCGUGCCUGUAAUCCGUACGGGUUGUGGGAGCAAGAGCCCGGAGAUGGAUUCUGAGACACGAAUCCAGGCCCUACGGGGCGCAGCAGGCGCGAAAACUCUACAAUGCAGGCAACUGCGAUAGGGGGACAUCGAGUGGCAUCCACCUUGGGUGCCUGUCCAACCGUCUAAAAAACGGUUGUUAGCAAGGGCCGGGUAAGACCGGUGCCAGCCGCCGCGGUAAUACCGGCGGCUCGAGUGGUGGCCGAUAUUAUUGAGUCUAAAGGGUCCGUAGCCGGCUUUGCAAGUCCCCUGGGAAAUCCAGCGGCUUAACCGUUGGGCUUUCAUGGGAUACUACAUUGCUUGGGACUGGGAGAGGUAGGAGGUACUCGGGGGGUAGGGGUGAAAUCCUGUAAUCCUCCGGGGACCACCGGUGGCGAAGGCGUCCUACCAGAACAGGUCCGACGGUGAGGGACGAAAGCUAGGGGCACGAACCGGAUUAGAUACCCGGGUAGUCCUAGCCGUAAACGAUGCCCGCUAGGUGUCACGACGGUCGUGAAUCGUCGUGGUGCCGUAGGGAAGCCGCGAAGCGGGCCACUUGGGAAGUACGGGCCGCAAGGCUGAAACUUAAAGGAAUUGGCGGGGGAGCAC
rnacentral:rRNA from 1 species